UGGAGAGAAGAAAAUGGAGCUACAAAAAUUCGUCCUGUCCUUGCCUGCCAACCUCCACCCCAACGGCACAAUCUCCCUGCCUCCAUCGGCACUAAGGCUCCUUUCCAUGCUGCCCCUAGCACGCACCCCCCUGCCCAGAGAUCCUGAAAAAUCGGACUAGGCCAAGACAGAGUGGGUACAGGCAAGGGGCGAUUAUAAAGGAAGGUUUGGGUUAUGAUGUCAAGAUCUGUGGCGCCCAGAAACCUGAGCAGCUGCUGGGGGCAGGGGAAACCUCAGCCCGGAGAGCUGCCAAAACUGCAUUUCCUGCCCCUCACCCCCACCCCCACCGCCCAGAAGCUGAAAUCCUGAGGCACUUUGGAGUUCUGGUGGCUGCGGGUGGGUUAAGCCGCCAGAUGUUUCCCAGCUGUUGGACCUGGGCCUCCAGCUGAGCCUGAAUGCGCAGACCCUGUAGCUUAUAUCUUUAUAUCGAUUGAAUCCUACUAGAUUUGAAAACACAAGGACUGCCUCUCAUUCACCUUGGUGUCCCCGACAUCUACAAACUGAAGAGAACAAUCCAUUUCAGUCCAUUUCUUUAGCAUGUGUACUGCCCUCAGAGCCACAUCAUCGGAUGGAUAUUCUUUUGCUUGGAAGCCUUUCUCCAACCGGAUGUAAUACUAUACAGAAAAUUCCACAAACCCCUUCUCUCUACUUUUACACCACUUAUAAGAUGCUGAAGACUCCACCGGGCUAGGCUACUCUCGGAGUGUAUCCUGCUGGCAGCUUAGCUCUACCAUGCAGAACAAAGUAAGUACAAUCCAGAACUGGCGUAAGCUUGAAGAUGCUUCGCAUGGCAGGUGAAUCUAAUUCCUGCAGAUGGUCUUCUCACUCUGUUCGAGCUUCAGUUCUGAACAUUUCAUAAAGGAAUCCUGGCAUUGCACUUGAGAAAAGCAGGUUGGAAGAGAGCGUCGUCUUUAUUUUACCUUCCGCCCCUCCCCACGAUGAGUCUGGGCAUGAAAUUUAGUGACCUGAAUUCAAAUGUGGAACAACAAUCCAAAACAUAAAAAUAGUCCCUUAGAUUUGGGUGUUAUCAAGAAGGUAACUAACUGGAGGAAUGCCAAGAAGUGAAGAAGCAACUCUCUUAACUUUAAAAAAGAUGAACAAGGCAAAAGAAAAUGCUAAACUUUACUUGAAAGGUACCAGAAGCCUGGGAAAAUUGACCAUGACUAGUGGCCCCCUAAAUAACAAAGGGAGAUUGUGUUGCUGGCAUAAACCCAUUUAGUUCCUCCUCACCUUUGACAUGGAAAGAGAAAAGAGAAGGAAUUCUCUUUCUUUUUUCUUUUUCUUUAAAAAAAAAAAACCCUUACCUUCUGUCUUAGAAUAGAUAGUAUCAAUUCCAAAGCAGAAGAGUGCUAAGGACUAGGCAAUUGGGUUUAAGUGACUUGCCCAGGGUCACUCAACUAGGACACAUCAGAGUCCAAAUUUGAACCCAAGACCUUCUAUCUCCAAACCUGGCUCUCCAUCCACUGAGCCACCUCGCUGCCCCAAGAAUUCUCUUUCAAAAGAGUAGAUAUUAACUCUCAGAUGCUCAGCCCUUUCCUCUAGGAGUCAAGGGAACGUGCUCCUAAGUAUGAUUAGAUGCAAUCUAGACUUUGGAUGGAUACUCCUGGUUCUAUGGACCAGAGUACUGGUCCUGCAACUGCUGCUGCCUCAGGAAAUUUCUGGUUGAAUCCUCCUAGAUUCUGUGUGUGUGCACACAUGUGGGCAUGUAUGUAUUGCAUGUAUAUAUGUGUAUCCAUACAUGUGUGUAACCACCUCCUGGUCUUGGUACUGUCCCUCCUCCUCUCUUUCUUCCUCUUCUUCAGCCUCUUUCUCCUUACCUGUAUCCCCAUCCCUUGUGAUCUCUCCCACAUGAGGAAGCACUUUGGGCCUCGGUGCUUCUUUCACCCUCUUUCUCACCUACUGUUUCCUGAUGGUCUCUUCAUCGUUCAUCGCUGAUAAAUGCUUUGCAAAGUGGUUGGGAGGCAUUAAGUCACUCCAUAGGCUUCUUCCCCACAGCUGCUGAGAGGUGCCCAGCCAAGAACGUCGGGCUGGCAUGCAGAGAAAACUGGUGAUGGCACUGAGAACAGUUUCAUUGAUGCAGCCUGAUGUGAUGACUUGUCAAUCUUUAAGAAGAUCCAUUGUUUUCAAAAGCUUUUCUGCAGAGUCGAUGGCAUUCAAUCCACUUGGGGGAUCUCUAAUUGGAUAUAUGGAUGAGCAAGAGAAAACCAUCAAGAGGUAGCAUUGAGUUUAUGAACAUUUUCUCUUCAGAUACUCCUCCAGUUAAAUGGAACUGAGAAAAAGAGGACUUCCUACAACUGAGGAAACCCUAUUGAUGGGGGCUGAAGUCAGUGGAGUGUAUAAUUGAAAAUCUGUGACUCUAAAAAAAGCUACAUUUCCCAGGAGCCCACUGACUUCCUGUCAUUACGUACUUCCUGUAGACAGGGGAUAAAUAUUGAGUGGGAGGUCCUGCCCCGUUCUUUUUGGCAUGAUGACAUCGAGCUUUGUGGCCAUGGUAAGCUAAGCAUGGGAAUUUUAAAAUGGCUGAUCAGCCUUGGACACAUGGUCUUUAUUUUGUAUCCUCUUUAUUCCUUGAUUUCUAAUGAUCAUUAAUAAAUCUUUAAAAUAUAAUAUUUCAUUAUUUGAGAUUAACUUUAAUUUUUACAGGAGGAAUGGUAAAAUGUAACAUACCUGGCCUUCAGGUGGUGGGAGUCAGAGUAGACACUAUAACAAAUGUAAUGAAGGCACCAGAAGAAAAAAGUGGAAAAGCAUUGAGAAUUGUGGAAGAAAGAGUUGGAAAGAGAAUUAAUAGCUUGGCACAAAAGAUACAAAGCCUUUGCCAAGCCACAGACUCCUUGAAAAUUAGAAUGGAUCAAGUAGAAGUUAAUGACUCCAAGAGACGACAUAUAGUAAAACAAAGUUAAAAUACUGAGAGAGAGAGAGAGAAAGAGAGAGAGCAAAAGUGAAAGAGCAAGAGUGAGAGAGUGAGGGAGAGAGCAAGAGCGAGAGAGUGAGGGGGAGAGAGAGAGAGAGAGAAAGAGUGAGAGAGAGAGAGAGAGAGACCUUGUAUCAAAAUAACUGACCUAGAAAACAGAUUGUGAAGAAAUAGUUCAAGAAGUUUUGGACUACCUGAAAACCAUGACCAAAAAAAUAAUAAUAAUAACCCAGAUAUCAUAUUUUAAGAAAUCAUAAUAGAAAACUGUCAGAUCUCUUGGAACCAGAAGGCAAAAUGAAAAUAGAAAGAAUUCGUUGGUAAGUUCCUGAGAGAAACCCCAAAUAAAAACUGCCAAGAACAUUCUAGUCAAGAUUCAGAGCUUCCAGAUCAAAGGGAAAAUAGUGCAAGCAGCCAGAAAGAAAUUAAAGUAUGGAAAAGCAAUAGUUAGAAUCACACAAGAUUGAGUAGCCAUCAUCAUAAGAGUGGAAGGAGCAACAAGGUAGCUCUACAGAUAGAGAGCCAGGCCUAGAGACUGAUGGUCCAGGAUUUAAAUUUGGCCUCAGACACUUUCUAGCUGUGUGACCCUGGGCAAGUCACUUAGCCCCAAAUGCCUAUCCCUUAGUGCCCUUCUUCUUUGUAUCAAUUCUAAGGCAGAAGGUAAGAGUUUUUUAAAAGAUGUAAAAACAAUGCAGGUAAAAUGAGAAGAAAAGCAGGAAAUUGGGAGUGGGGGGUGGUGUCUUUGCAGCAAAUUUGAGAAAGGUCUCAUUCUUAAACUAUAUAUAGAACUGAAUCAGAACAAAAGCUAUUCUUCAAAUGACAAAUGGUUAAACUAUAUGAAUAGGCAGUUUUCAGAGGAAGAAAUUAGAACUAUCAAUAGUUAUAUGAAAAUAUUAUUCUAAUUACUAAUAAUUAGAAAAAUUAAAAUUAAAACAAUUCUAAAGCACUACUUCAUACUUAUCAGAUUGGCUACGUUGACCAAAAAAAGAAAAGAAAAGAAAAUGACAAAUGAAGGAGAGGAUAUGGGAAAAUACAUACACUAAUGCACAGAAGAGUGGUAAGUGCUGGGCAACUAGGGGUAAAUGACUUACCAAAGAUCACACAGUUAGGAAGUAUCUGAGGCCAGAUUUGAGCCCAGGACCUCCUGUCUAAUGCAUUGUUGAUAGAACUGUGAACUAUUCCAGCCAUUCUGAAAAGCAUUUUGGAACUAUACUCAAAACCUAUUAUACUAUGCUUACUGUUUGACCCAGGAUACCACUUCUAAGUCUAUACUCCCAAAGAGAUCACAGAAAGAAGAAAAGGACCCAUGAGUACAAAAAUAUUUAUAGCCACUCAUUGUGGUAGCAAAGAAUUAGAAGCUAAGGGAAUGCUCAUCUUUUGGGAAAUGGCUGAACAGGUUAUGCUAUUUGAAUGCAAUGGAAUACUAUUGUUUUAUUUUUUCCUUAAUAAUGAAAGGGAUGAUGUGAGAAAAACCUGAGAAGAUUUGUAUGAAUUGAUACAGAGUAAAGGGAACAGAGCCAGGAGAAAAUGUAUUUAGCAAUAGCAAUAAUCAACUCUGAAAGCCUUACUAACUUUGAUCAAAACAACGAUCAACUGCAAUUCCAAAGGACUCAUGAUGAAAUAUGCUUUUCAUCUCCAGAGAGAGAAGUGAUGGAUUCACAGAACAUAUCAAAGUAUAUUUUCUUAUUUUUGUUCUUUUUCUUCUCAUAUUCCUCCUCUUCCUUCUUCUCUCUCAUGGUUAAUGUGGAAAUUUGUUUUGCAUGACUAUACACGUUUGUAAUGGGUUUUAUUAUUCUUGCCUUCCCAACAUGUCAAGGAUGGGAGAAAGGUUGGAAAGAAUUUAGAACUGAAGAUAACACAUUUAAAAAAAAAAUAAAAAGAAACGAGUAAUCAAUCAAAAUAAAGAAAAAUUAAGGAAAGAUGAGGAGGGGAAAAAAUAAAUAGAUUAAGGAAGGAUCUGUCCUAAGCAAAACAAAUUUGAACUAAGAAAGGUGGAUUUGAAAGGGAGGAUUAAAAGAAAAGAAAGGAUAAGAGCCUAUUAUUGACUUUGAGUUAGGAAAGAGAAGAGGAACAGAAAAGCAGAAGCAGACUGCAUCAACCUAGAGCCAGGAUGGUGAACCUAUGGCACACAGAAUGUUCUUUGUAGGCAUACACCACCACCCCCCCCAAUUUGUUACUAGAAAGGCAGAGAAAUUCAGGCAGAGCUGAUCCCCUCCCACUCUCCACCAUGCCUAACAACAUUUUUCACCCCACCCACUCCCCACAGCAGCCAAUGGGAGUGCAUAGGGGAUAAGGUGGGUGACUCACAGGCAGCAGAGCUGGAGGGGAGAGGAAGGGAGCACUUGGACCACUCCCCCUCCCCCACUUUACACUCACUGAGGACACUCCUCACUUCACCCACCGCUCCACCCAGAAGCCAAAUGGAAAUGCUUCCUCCCACCCCUAUGUGGGGUAAGGGGAAGAGGGGCAUUGUAAAUUUCAAAAGUCUCCAUCUUGGUAUAGCACCCAAAAAUUGUGCAUACCCACACUACACGGGCAUGUGCUAGUCAAUGACAAAUCAGAAAUAACUAACUGCCCACCUGGGCUGUCCUAAGCCAAGCUAGAGCCAACCAUUGGCACUUGUGAGGCACAGGAAGUGAGGUAGGGAACAGCCUCUGGAAUUCGCUCACUUCCUGUGGAGAGAGCGAGAUGCCAGUUGGUGUUAGAAGCUUGGACAGGGAGGACGCCCGCAGACAGCUUUCCUUCAGAUCGGUCACGUGAGUUAAGGACUGAUUCUUUCCACCUUGGCCUUGGGCCUAAAACUCCCUCUGCCUUGGUCAGAGGUUGAGUAGCCCCUUUCCCCUUUCUCCUCUCUCCUUCUCUCCCUCUCCUUUCCCUACUCCCAUUGUGAUUAAAACCUCCAUAAACUCCAUUCUGACUUGAGUGUUUCAUUUUAGGAAUUUCAUAAGUAAAUUCCUUGGCGGCCAUUGUUCAAUAUUACAACAAUCUUAAAAAGGUGAAAUUUUCACCAUUACAGCAUGGCAUUUGGUCUCUAAAAGGUUUGCCAUCACUGACCUAGAGCACUAGUGCUAAGCAUACUCCUCUCUCACCACCCUUUUUCCCUUUGUAGAGGGAACAAGAAACAAAGAGAAGGAAAAUAUAAGAGGAUAAGAUGUGGGGAAAUAGAUAAUUUCUUCUUUUUUCCAGCAUUGAUUUUGUUUGAGCAAAAACUUUUGAAUUUCAUAUAAUCAAAAUUGUCACUUUUAUCUUUUAGAUAAUCUCCUUAUUUGGUUAAGAAUUCCCUCCCUCAUUAACGCAUUGGUGGUGGAGUUGUGAAUUAAUCCAACCAUUCUGGAGGGCAAUUUGGAAUUAUGCCCAAAGGGAGCUAAAAGACUGUCUGCUCUUUGAUCCAGCCAUAGCACUGCUGGGUUUGUACCCCAGAGAGAUAAUAAGGAAAAAGACUUGUACAAGAAUAUUCAUAGCUGUGCUCUUUGUAGUGGCAAAAAAUGGGAAAAUGAGGGGGAUGCCCUUCAAUUGGGGAAUGGCUGAAUAAAUGGUAGUAUAUGUUGGUGAUGGAAUACUAUUGUGCUCAAGGAAUAAUAAACUGGAGUAAUUCCAUGUGAACUGGAAUGACCUCCAGGAAUUGCUGCAUAGUGAGAGGAUCAGAACCAGGAGAAUGCUUUACACAGAGGCUGAUACACUGUGGAACAAUCAAAUGUAAUGGACUUGGGGGCAGCUGGGUAGCUCAGUGGAUUGAGAGCUAGCCCUAGAGAUGGGAGAUCCUAGGUUCAAAUCUGGCCUCAGACACUUCCCAGCUGUGUGACCCUGGGCAAGUCAUUUGACCCCCAUUGCCUAGCCCUUACCACUCUUCUGCCUUGGAGCCAAUACA